rnacentral:rRNA from 1 species
UACGUAGGGUGCGAGCGUUAAUCGGAAUUACUGGGCGUAAAGCGUGCGCAGGCGGUUUUGUAAGUCAGGUGUGAAAUCCCCGGGCUCAACCUGGGAAUGGCAUUUGGGACUGCAAGGCUGGAGUGUGGCAGAGGAGACUGGAAUUCCUGGUGUAGCAGUGAAAUGCGUAGAUAUCAGGAGGAAUACCGAUGGCGAAGGCAGGUCUCUGGGCUGACACUGACGCUCAUGCACGAAAGCGUGGGGAGCAAACAGG